rnacentral:rRNA from 1 species
AAAUUGAAGAGUUUGAUCAUGGCUCAGAUUGAACGCUGGCGGCAGGCCUAACACAUGCAAGUCGAACGGUAACAGGAAGAAGCUUGCUUCUUUGCUGACGAGUGGCGGACGGGUGAGUAAUGUCUGGGGAACUGCCUGAUGGAGGGGGAUAACUACUGGAAACGGUAGCUAAUACCGCAUAACGUCGCAAGACCAAAGAGGGGGACCUUCGGGCCUCUUGCCAUCGGAUGUGCCCAGAUGGGAUUAGCUAGUAGGUGGGGUA